rnacentral:rRNA from 1 species
AGCGAACGCUGGCGGUAUGCUUAACACAUGCAAGUCGAACGGCAGCACAGUAAGAGCCUGCUCUGACGGAUGGCGAGACGGGGACGGGUGAGGAAUACAUCCGAAUCUACUCUUUCGUGGGGGCUAACGUAGGGAAACCUACGCUAAUAUCGCAUACGACCUACGGGUGAAAGCAUGUGAUCUUCGUACCUUGUGCGAAUGGAUGAGCCGAUGUCGGAUUAGAUAGUUGGGGGGGUAAAGGCCUAGCAAGGCGACGAUCCGUAGCUGGUCUGAGCGGAUGGUCGGCCGCCCUGGAACGGGGACACGGUCCAGACGCCUAAGGGACGCAGCAGUGGGGAAUAUUGGGCAAUGGGGGGAAGCCUGGUCCAGCCGUACCACGUGGGUGGCGGAGGCCUUCGGGUUGUAAAGCCCUUUUGUUGGGAAAGAAAAGCUGCCGGUUAAUACGACGCUAUUCUGACGGUACCCAAAGAAUAAGCACCGGCUAACUUCGUG